rnacentral:lncRNA from 1 species
UACGCCUUCCUAUCCCUCGCCGUGGCCGACGGCUGCUUCCCCAUCCACCGCCUUGGUGCCCUUCAGUCCGUCGCUACACUCCUAAUCUUCUUCCUCCUCCUCGCCGCCGCCACCCUCCUCCUCCCGCACCCCCUCACUCCCAACCUCCUCUUCCUCCUCACUUCCCUCGCCUUUGCCCUACUCUCCGCAGCCUCGGCCCACUCGGCCGCCGCCUACUAGACCUCCGACCUUCAGGCCAAGUGCGACUCCCUCUCCACCGCCGCUUCCCUUGCCCUCGCCCUCCACUCGCGCUUCUUCCCCACCGUCGCCGCCCACGAGAGGAUCCGGAGGAGAAAGGGUCUUAACCGCGCUCCACCGGCCACGUCGCCGAGCCACCGCCGGCCUCGGCACUCUUCCGGCGCGGCCGGCCUCGUGGGAGGAGAAGAAAGAAAAAAAUAAGAAGAAGCUUCGAGAAGAAAAAAAAGAAAAAAAAGAAAAAGAAAGAAAAAGAAGAAAAGGGAAAAAAAGAAAAAUAAAGUUAACUCACUAUUGCAAUUAAGUUAGUAAGCUUGAACACAGUUAACUCACCAUUGCAAUUAGGUUAGUAAACUUGGUACACAGGUAAUAUAGUAUGGCAUAUAAGCUUGACACACAAUCAAUCAAUGUUUGAGCACUUAAUCUAGUCUAGUACACAGUUAAAU